rnacentral:rRNA from 1 species
AUUGAACGCUGGCGGCAUGCUUUACACAUGCAAGUCGAACGGCAACGAGGAGAAGCUUGCUUCUCUGUCGGCGAGUGGCGCACGGGUGAGUAUAGCAUCGGAACGUGCCAAGUAGUGGGGGAUAACCAAACGAAAGUUUGGCUAAUACCGCGUAAGCUCCAAGGAGGAAAGUAGGGGACCUAAAUAAGGCCUUACGCUAUUUGAUCGGCCGAUGUCGGAUUAGCUAGUUGGUGGGGUAAUGGCUCACCAAGGCAAUGAUCCGUAGCGGGUCUGAGAGGACGAUCCGCCACACUGGGACUGAGACACGGCCCAGACUCCUACGGGAGGCAGCAGUGGGGAAUUUUGGACAAUGGGGGAAACCCUGAUCCAGCCUUGCCGCGUGUAUGAAGAAGGCCUUAGGGUUGUAAAGUACUUUUGUUAGGGAAGAAAAGCUAGUUUUUAAUAAAAAUUAGUGAUGACGGUACCUAAAGAAUAAGCACCGGCUAACUACGUG